GCAAUGCGUCAAAGGUACGACACCAAGAUGAUCGUGAGCUUACGUUGACGGUCUUCCAUUUCACCUCCCUUCCGAUUAUAUACGUAUAUACUUUUUUCCUUUAGUCUACAGUCGUUAAGAAGCAUCCUCCGUAUAGUGAUUACCUUAAGGGCUUUUCAACUUCUUAACCCCCGUUAUCUUUCCACCCUCGAAACAUAAAUUCCAAGGCGAUCGAGAGAUUUCGACGAACGUUCAAUCGUCGAAGGUCGUAAGCCCUCGAAAGUCGUUUCGAUGCCGAAGUGAUACAUCGUGCGAAAAAGUUUCAGCCCCGAGGAAAGAUAGAAAGAGGGAGAGGGAGAGAGUGGUCGAUCGAAGGGUUCAUCAUAGAGCUAGGAUCAUGGUCCGUUCCUGGACAAGAACAAGAUUUCCGAGCAUUGGAGAGUCCAGAACGAAUACAUACACCCCUUCUAAUAAUUGUGUUUACUCUUUUUUAUCUUCAUAUUCAUCGAGGAAUUUCUCGAGGUGAAAACAGAAGAAUAACCGUCGAAA
rnacentral:lncRNA from 1 species